UCACAGGCUACAGAGAAAUUGUGAAAGGAAGAGUGAAUGAUGUGGCCAACUUCAUUGUUGUCUUAUUUUAAGAAACUGCCACAGACAUCCUAGCAACCACCACCCUGGUCACGCAGCAGCCAUCAACAUCGAGGCAGGACCCUCCACCAGCCAAAACAUGACAACUUGCUGAAAGCCCAGAUGAUGGGUAGCAUUUAUUCUUAACGAUAAAGUAUUUUCAAAUUAAGCUCUGUAUUUUUUUUUUUUAAGGCAUAAUGCUAUUGCACACACCAUAGACCACAGUGUAGCAUAAUUUUAACUUUUAUAUGCACUGGGCGACCAAAAAAUUAAUUUGACUUGUUUUUUUGCGAUAGCUGUUUCAUUGCAGUGGUCUGGAGCCCGAGCCACAAAAUGUCUGAGGAAUGCCUGUAUUUCUACUGUCAUUUUAACCGUUCUGACAAGCUUACUAUCACUGGAGCCCAUGGCCAGCUGGGAAAGGACACAGUGGCUUGAGUUCUUGCUGUGACCCUUUAGUAAUUCCAGUAAAGUCUGAGUACCACUAUGGGAGCAUUAGAACACCUACACUGCAAUAAAAGAAUCAACUGUGUGAUGUGUAUGCAAGUAACCAGAACUGACAGGACAUGUGACCUAGGACUACUGAUCUCCUGCCUGGGCAAAGCAGAGAACACAUGCAACACAACCUAAACUUUUCUGGAGUACUUAACAGUUCUCUGACCAUCAGUUAAUACACUCCUCAGAAGCUACUGCAGUAGGAACAGCUGUUUGAAACACAAAUGGUUCAGAUCAUAAAGUAAAAGAGCAGGAAUAUGUGCUUAAAUAAAAAGGAAAUUCUCAAAGAAUGUGGUAAAAGUGCAAGGAAAGACACAAGCUGAAUGCCAUCAAAACAGACACAUACACAUGGAAUCUUCACAAAUGAAAUUUAGUAUUUGGUAAGAGAUUUAUAAACCCCAAACCUUCAAUUCAGAAAAACAUUCUCUGCAGUGUUACUUGUAAUAGUGAAAACUGGAUUCUACCUAAAUGUUCUAUCAAGUGAGAAUGAUUAGGGAAACUAUGAUGGCUGUGAAUGACUUCAUGAAAUUUUAAAAAGAUGAAUAAUUAUCACUUGUUGGACUACACUAGGCUCUGAGGAUACAAAUAUGAUCCCUGCCAUCAAUGAGCAUACGGUAGCAGGGGAGAUCGUUAAAACAAGAAAGCAUACAGUAUAGCAGUACGAUGAAAGAGAAGUAAGCUAGGGGCACCCAAGGGUAUGGAAGACAUGGGGCACAGAAGGCUUCCCCUCACAAAGUGAAGUUGAAGUUGAGUCCUGAAAAGCGAGUACAAGUCAAGGAGAGGUGGGACAAUAGAAAGUAAAACACAUAUUUGGAAUGGGAUAAUUAAAUGUGUCGAGCUCCCAAGGUGGAGGACAUCCUGGAGAACCUUGGAAAGAUUUGCUGCAUCCUAAACCUAUUAUUAGGUCAGUGAAGGAUUUUGAGCAGAAGAAUAACAUGAUCAGAUUUGCAUUUCUGGUGAUAACAUUAAUUGAUUGGGGGUGGGGGGGGGGGAGGCGGUUUCUGAUGGAGGCCGAAGACUUUGAUGCCUACAAGAGAGGUGAGAGUGGCUUUACUGUAGCAGCAAGGAAAUGGAAGUGGAGAGAUACCUGGUAACAAUGCGCUAUGGUAGGGAGACAAAAUCUGUUCAUCCCCAAGUUUCUGUCUCCAAUAACAGUGCAAUCAUAGGAAAAGCCAGUUUGAUUUGGAACUUGUUGACUUUGAGACCUAAGUCACCAUGUGCA